rnacentral:lncRNA from 1 species
GUGACGUUCAUAGGUACGAAUCUUGCAGACGUAUUUCUGCCCUUGUUGCCUGUUCCUUCCCUGCAAGGUCUAUGCCCUGCAGGCAUAGAAUAACAUUUAGUGCGUCAUUUGGUGUGGUGCGGACUGAUGGUAGCGCCACUGAUGCAAUGAGUGGUCGUUCGUUGGACCUUUGCCAGUUGAGCUGUGAUUGUCUUUUUUGACAGAGCCGGCCACCAUACUGUGCUCCGUAGAGCAGUAUUGGUUGGGCAACAGCUCGAUAUAUCCAUUGGACUAUACGUGGGUU